GAUAAUGUUCUCUUUGUAGGCCUCGCAAAGCGCUUUCAGUUUUCACCGCGUGUUAGAAAACAAUCUUGUAUUUUGAUGUCUUACUUUGCAUUCGGAACCGAACGGACGCGUAGUUUGUAUUAAAAAACGUCUUUAGUCUGGACAAACAAUAGCGAAGAAAUCGUUUGACGGAUUUGUUAUUCGCGGACCGUCCGCUCUUAUCGUUAUCGUCACGUCGUCUGGUUGUUGACGACGCAGAUCCCUGUCCCAGCGAACAAAGGAACAGCAAGGCCGACGUACGCUUCGUCGCUCUUGUGGGAGUAAAGUUUGCGUUUUAAGUAACAUAGAAUUAGACCGAAUUCAAACUACAUUUUUGUGGCACUGUUUUUUGACUUGUCACCUCUUUAAUUUGGUCGAAACAAACCAAUUAGACGACUCAUUCAGUCCCGUUAGCAACCUCGGCUCAGGUUAGCCGCGUGCUAGCUGUAGCGUAGUUCAGAUUCAAGCUAGGAGUUUUCUUUAUUUUGGGAGAAUGGCUGAAGUGUACAUUCGAGUGGCGGAGGAGGAAAACGAAGAGCCCAUGGAGAUUCCGUCCGAGGAUGACGGCACUAUUCUGCUCUCCACCGUGGCAGCUCAAUUUCCAGGAGCGUGCGGCCUGCGUUUUAGGAGCCCCGUGUCACAGUGCAUGCGGGGAGUACGUCUAGUGGAAGGGAUCCUGCACGCACCAGAGACUGGAUGGGGCAAUAUCGUUUAUGUCGUCAACUAUCCAAAAGACAACAAAAGGAAAAUGGAAGAAAUUGAUGCCUCCUCUGCUGUGAAAAUGAAGAGAGGAGAUAUGAAGACAUCUGAUCUAAUUGUACUUGGUCUUCCUUGGAAAACAACUGAGCAGGACCUCAAAGACUACUUUAGUACAUUUGGAGAAGUCAUCAUGGUUCAGGUUAAACGAGACGGGAAAACUGGAAAUUCUAAAGGAUUUGGCUUUGUGAGGUUCACAGAGUAUGAGGCCCAAGAAAAAGUGGUCUCCCAGCGCCAUAUGAUUGAUGGAAGAUGGUGCGACUGCAAGCUCCCUAACUCAAAGUUUUUCUUUGGACAGCAGUGUCCAGAUGAGCCACUGAGAAGCCGCAAAGUUUUUGUCGGCCGUUGCACAGAAGACAUGACCACGGAUGAUUUAAGGCAGUUUUUUCUGCAGUACGGAGAAGUCACGGAUGUUUUCAUUCCAAAGCCAUUCCGUGCCUUUGCUUUCGUCACAUUUGCAGAUGAUCAGGUUGCCCAGGCCCUCUGUGGUGAGGACCUGAUUAUCAAAGGUGUCAGCGUUCACAUCUCAAACGCUGAGCCCAAACAUGGCAAUAGGCAGUAUGACCGGACAACACGCUUUGGGAAUGGUUUCGGAGCACAAGCAUUUGGUAGCAGCCGCAGUGGGUUAGGGAGCAGCACCAACAGUAGUCUGGCUAAUUUUGGUUCCUUCAGUCUGAAUCCUGCCAUGAUGGCUGCUGCUCUGCAGAGUAGUUGGGGGAUGAUGGGUAUGCUAGCUAGCCAACAGCAGACAUCCACUUCAGGCAGCACCUCCAGUGGAACCAGCUCUAGCAGGGACCAGAGUCAGUCUUUCAGUACAGGCAACAGUAAUUAUGGCACCAGCUCAGCUGGUCUUGGCUGGGGAACAGGUUCCAACUCUACAACCAGUGGUAGUGGGUUUAGCUCAGGUUUUGGGUCCAGUAUGGAGUCAAAGUCAUCUGGGUGGGGUAUGUAAGUUAAGUGUUUGUCUGGUAAGUAUUGUGAUAAAGAUGAGUCUUUUCAACAACAACAAAAAAAGCAAAAAAAAUUCUGGUGUAAUGCGUAUCUGAAAACUUAACACUUUUGUGGAAGAUGUUUUGUACAUUUGAAAAGAUGCUAAAGAUUUAAAUUAGAAAAUGUGUUGAAUGGAGUUGUUUAUAGGAUGUCCGACUAAAGUGCUAUUUUUGAUGUCAUGUUUGGUUUUUGUAUCCAUUUCAACUGGAUUCUCUAAUGCAUGCAUUGUGAAAUGUGAUAUAACCAUUUGAAAAAUGCAUGAAUGUCUCCGAUACACUAGUAUGCGGCUUUGUCAUAAACCUAAAGGCAAUCUUGCAUUGGGAAGAAUCCUGUUGAAACCUAAAUGUUUUAAGUGCAACUUUAUUUGCAGUCAAGUUCUGUGGAAAAGCCUUCAUUGAAAUCUCUUCUGCAGUUCACCUCUCUUCCAUUUUCCUGUGAAGAAGCUCCUCUUUGGCAGCAUUCUUGGGGUGAUAUCGGUAUCAUUCUCCCUCUUCCCACCUGUAAAUGCUAUGCCAUCAAAGAACGGCUUCACUCCGCAUGUUCUAAGAGACGGGACCUUGGGCUCUGCUGGUCGAGGUCUCCGUUUGAACCCUGACUGAAGUCCGUUCUGAAGGACGAAGAUGGAAGUUCCAACACUUUCAGUGUGUGGCCUUCUCAGACAUGACAUGGGGUAGUACCUGUCUUUUUUGCUGAUUUUAAUGACUUCAUUAUUCAGGUGCAUUGAAGGUUAGUGGGGAUUUCUUUUACAUGGCCUUGAACAUUAUGAGGAGGUAUCCCAAUGUGUACUAUGCCAGUUAGGUAAGAUGGUAAUCACAACCACUGAAAGCAUAGAGAUGUUUGUGUCCACUUGGCAAAGCUUUUAUUACAUUACAGCAUUGUUUAUAGCUUCAUUAAUCUGUCAAACAAAGACAUGUAAUCUGUAGUGCAUUGGCAGGGCCUUAUCACAUUUAUAACUUAUUAAGAAAUUGGAAUAAGAAACAUGGAAGUACUGCUGUGGACGCCUGAAACGACUAUUAAAGAAUGACUUGUCACUAUGGUGACACUUAACCUACUGUCUUGUAUUAGCAAGGCUACAUGUUUAUUUAAAUGUUGGGUACACGUGAGACACUGCAGGCCUGUCUUGUGUCCUGUCCUUAUUCUCUGCUUUCCUCCUCGGUGUCUCUGCUCUUCCUCUUUCCAGAAUUCUUCUUUUUCUGUUCCUGGUUCAGUUCUUCACUUUUAUUUUGUAUGUAGAUAGACUGAAAUUAAUAAAGGCAAAUUAAACAUUCA